AAUUGACCUCGGAUCAGGUAGGGAUACCCGCUGAACUUAAGCAUAUCAAUAAGCGGAGGAAAAGAAACCAACCGGGAUUGCCUCAGUAACGGCGAGUGAAGCGGCAACAGCUCAAAUUUGAAAUCUGACCCUGUCGGGGUUCGAGUUGUAAUUUGUAGAGGAUGUUUCGGGCGCGAAGCCGGUCUAAGUCCCUUGGAACGGGGCGUCAUAGAGGGUGAGAAUCCCGUCUGUGACCGGCGAUCAAGCCUCUGUGAAACUCCUUCGACGAGUCGAGUUGUUUGGGAAUGCAGCUCAAAAUGGGUGGUAAAUUUCAUCUAAAGCUAAAUACUGGCCAGAGACCGAUAGCGCACAAGUAGAGUGAUCGAAAGAUGAAAAGCACUUUGGAAAGAGAGUCAAAAAGUACGUGAAAUUGUUGAAAGGGAAGCGCUUGCAACCAGACCUGCCCGCGGGCGAUCAGCCGUCCCUUCCAGGGCGGUGCACGCGCCCGCGAACAGGCCAGCAUCGGUUCGGGCGGCCGGAUAAAGGCCCGGGGAACGUAGCUCCUCUCGGGGAGUGUUAUAGCCCCGGGUGCAAUGCGGCCCGCCUGGACCGAGGACCGCGCUUCGGCUAGGAUGCUGGCGUAAUGGUUGUAAGCGGCCCGUCUUGAAACACGGACCAAGGAGUCUAACAUCUAUGCGAGUGUUUGGGUGUCAAACCCAUGCGCGUAAUGAAAGUGAACGGAGGUAGGAACCCACCAGGGCGCACUAUCGACCGAUCCUGAAGUCUUCGGAUGGAUUUGAGUACGAGCAUAGCUGUUGGAACCCGAAAGAUGGUGAACUAUGCCUGAAUAGGGUGAAGCCAGAGGAAACUCUGGUGGAGGCUCGCAGCGGUUCUGACGUGCAAAUCGAUCGUCAAAUUUGGGUAUAGGGGCGAAAGACUAAUCGAACCCUCUAGUAGCUGGUUCCACCCCGAAGUUCCUUU
rnacentral:rRNA from 2 species